GGCGGCAGGCCUAACACAUGCAAGUCGAGCGGCAGCACGGGUACUUGUACCUGGUGGCGAGCGGCGGACGGGUGAGUAAUGCCUAGGAAUCUGCCUGGUAGUGGGGGAUAACGCUCGGAAACGGACGCUAAUACCGCAUACGUCCUACGGGAGAAAGCAGGGGACCUUCGGGCCUUGCGCUAUCAGAUGAGCCUAGGUCGGAUUAGCUAGUUGGUGAGGUAAUGGCUCACCAAGGCGACGAUCCGUAACUGGUCUGAGAGGAUGAUCAGUCACACUGGAACUGAGACACGGUCCAGACUCCUACGGGAGGCAGCAGUGGGGAAUAUUGGACAAUGGGCGAAAGCCUGAUCCAGCCAUGCCGCGUGUGUGAAGAAGGUCUUCGGAUUGUAAAGCACUUUAAGUUGGGAGGAAGGGCAUUAACCUAAUACGUUGGUGUCUUGACGUUACCGACAGAAUAAGCACCGGCUAACUCUGU
rnacentral:rRNA from 1 species